rnacentral:rRNA from 1 species
GACGAACGCUGGCGGCGUGCCUAAUACAUGCAAGUUGAGCGCUGAAGGUUGGUACUUGUACCAACUGGAUGAGCAGCGAACGGGUGAGUAACGCGUGGGGAAUCUGCCUUUGAGCGGGGGACAACAUUUGGAAACGAAUGCUAAUACCGCAUAAAAACUUUAAACACAAGUUUUAAGUUUGAAAGAUGCAAUUGCAUCACUCAAAGAUGAUCCCGCGUUGUAUUAGCUAGUUGGUGAGGUAAAGGCUCACCAAGGCGAUGAUACAUAGCCGACCUGAGAGGGUGAUCGGCACAUUGGGACUGAGACACGGCCCAAACUCCUACGGGAGGCAGCAGUAGGGAAUCUUCGGCAAUGGACGAAAGUCUGACCGAGCAACGCCGCGUGAGUGAAGAAGGUUUUCGGAUCGUAAAACUCUGUUGGUAGAGAAGAACGUUGGUGAGAGUGGAAAGCUCAUCAAGUGACGGUAACUACCCAGAAAGGGACGGCUAACUACGUG